CAGGUCCCUUCAGUUAAACAGAUGCUCUGUAUCUGUUCCACGCCUGUGCAUCCUGAAUCAUGACGUGUUGAAAUAGGGUACAGGUCUUCACAGAACCAGCUUCCCUCUAGCAUAGUCUAUCAUUCAUACAGCAUAUGUACAAACACUUCAGAAUGAGUGCUGCCCAAGUGAUACUGGCUACUUCCCAGACUCCAGUGAGGACGUCUCUGAAGUCCGCUGCACUCUCUGAAGUGUGCUCCACAAGAUAAUAGAAGGAGGCUCCAAGAGAGGUGUGGAUCACCCGCAAGAGGUCUGAAGAGCAAGACGUAUUUUUACUGGAAGUCUGCUAACUAGCCAAAACCUUUGGAACAUCAUGACAUCGAUUUGGCAAAGUACUCUUUCUCUCUACUUUAUUGAAAACAUCUUAGGCAGCAAAAUGAAAAAAAAAUUACUUUAGUUCCAUGGUUUUAAAGCUUGUCUUUCUGCUGGCCUGCAGUCCAUCAUGAGAGUGAAGAUUAAGAAAUGCAAUGGAGCUUGACAGAUUUAAUUUGACAAAAAUACAAGGGAGAAAAGAAGAGAAGAAAAAAUGAAAAGUCUGUCAAGAAGUCUGAGAGGGGAUUUUCCCCUCCAGUGAUGUAUUUAUAGGCCCUAAGUAAGCAUCUAACCUGAAGUCAACUGAAACCAGUGGGGAGAUUUUAUUGACUUAAACAAGUAUUGGAUCAGACUUUAAAAGCAUAGCUUCCAAAAGUACGAAAAGUAUUUUGGGACAUGUUGUACUAGAAAUUAUCACUAAGAACGAGAAAGAAUAACCCAGUCAUAUUUUUGACACACUUGUGACUGAAGCAGAUAAAAGAGCUUUUCUAGCAGAUAGAGCUCACUGAUGGCGGGGCAAAUUUGCCACCUGUCCAGCAGACAUUCAGAGGGUUGAAGUUCUCAUUUUGGUGGAACUUCUCUGUCUCUUGAACUUUCACCAUGGUAAAGGUCAUAAAUGUCUCCAUGUCACUGAACAAUUAAGUUCAUCAGGUCCAUGAAUAUUCACACGGUAAAGAUAAUACGUCAUCAACCUGACAGUACCUUACUUAAACGCUCACUGAAAGCUUCUGUGCUACAGUAGUAAGGAGAAAAACAUGAUUAAUCAUACCAGAAGCAGUUCUGUUGAUAUACCAAUGCAUCCAUCUGCAAUAUGAAUAAUAACAAGAAGAUGAAUUGUAAAAAUGUGGGGCAAGAG
rnacentral:lncRNA from 1 species